CGUGUAGGCGGCCAGAUAGGUCGGUUGUGAAAACUGGAGGCUCAACCUCCAGACGUCGACCGAAACCCUCUGGCUAGAGUCCGGAAGAGGAGAAUGGAAUUCCUGGUGUAGCGGUGAAAUGCGCAGAUAUCAGGAAGAACACCCGUGGCGAAGGCGGUUCUCUGGGACGGUACUGACGCUGAGACGCGAAAGCGUGGGGAGCGAACA
rnacentral:rRNA from 1 species